UACAGAGGGUGCAAGCGUUAAUCGGAAUUACUGGGCGUAAAGCGAGCGUAGUCGGUUAUUUAAGUCGGAUGUGAAAUCCCCGGGCUCAACCUGGGAAUUGCAUUCGAUACUGGAUAGCUAGAGUUCGGCAGAGGGAAGUGGAAUUCCCGGUGUAGCGGUGAAAUGCGCAGAUAUCGGGAAGAACACCCGUGGCGAAGGCGGCUCUCUGGGACGGUACUGACGCUGAGACGCGAAAGCGUGGGGAGCGAACAGG
rnacentral:rRNA from 1 species